GUUAGAUUCUACUAGUUCACUUGGACCUGCGCUGUUUCGAUCUAUAAUAGACUCUAGUUUAGAUCUAGAAUGGACAUCAUCUUUCAUAUAUUUAAAGAUUUACUCUUGUGGAUAUGAGCUACUACAAACAUCAGGAUGAUCUAGCUUUAACAGCACCUGAGUCUCAGAUGAAUCCAUUUAAAUCCAAGCAUCAAUGUCACUGUAGCUCUAAAGACAGGGAUUUAUACUUGCAACUUAGACAUAACAGAUUGAAUCAAAAGUCCAAGAUGUUUUAAAUGAGAUGGGUGUGUGACUGAACUUUCAAACCUUCAACAUUGUAUCAUUUUUAAAUGUGCCCAAGGUGAUGGUUUAGAUGUGUCUUUGUUUUCAAAGAUUUGUUUGUGUUACUGACUCAUCAAAUGCAAAUUCAAAUCUGAAGUAAUUUGUUGGUGUCAAGAUUCAAGUACUUUUAAUCAAUGUUUGAUAGAAAAGCCUGAAGAUGUGUUCAUCAUUAACAUCAAGUUCCAUGUGAGAGCAUCUAGGCACAAGGCUCUGGACUCAAACUUUGCAGUAUACAUCAUGAUACAAGUCAAAAGCUUAGAGCUUUCCAGAUAUUGUUUUGUAUACAAGGUUCAAGUAAUAUUUCAAGUUCUUCGUUAUCAAGGUUCAAUACAUCGUUUGCAUAAUAGGUCAAAAUAGAAUGUUCAUUCAGC
rnacentral:sRNA from 1 species